rnacentral:rRNA from 1 species
AUUGAACGCUGGCGGCAGGCUUAACACAUGCAAGUCGAGCGGAGAUGAGGUGCUUGCACCUUAUCUUAGCGGCGGACGGGUGAGUAAUGCUUAGGAAUCUGCCUAUUAGUGGGGGACAACAUUCCGAAAGGAAUGCUAAUACCGCAUACGUCCUACGGGAGAAAGCAGGGGAUCUUCGGACCUUGCGCUAAUAGAUGAGCCUAAGUCGGAUUAGCUAGUUGGUGGGGUAAAGGCCUACCAAGGCGACGAUCUGUAGCGGGUCUGAGAGGAUGAUCCGCCACACUGGGACUGAGACACGGCCCAGACUCCUACGGGAGGCAGCAGUGGGGAAUAUUGGACAAUGGGGGGAACCCUGAUCUAGCCAUGCCGCGUGUGUGAAGAAGGCCUUAUGGUUGUAAGGCACUUUAAGCGAGGAGGAGGCUACUGAGACUAAUACUCUUGGAUAGUGGACGUUACUCGCAGAAUAAGCACCGGCUAACUCUGUGCCAGCCGCCGCGGUAAUAC